ACACAACCUCUAAAAAGUGAAGCCUAGACCCAAAGGUCAUAACCAGAAAGAGAAUAACCAUACAAACAAUGGUAGACAAACCAAAAAAAUAAAGAUGUACUAUCUAGCCGACGAGGCCACAACCGAAAACAUACCAACUUACACACACACUUAUAUAUACAUGCCAAGACUAUUGGCUGGAGGUUGGAACAUACAAAAAGAAAACCCAGAAUAUUGUGUCCACAAUAGCCUCUAUGAGUGACAUAUGCACUAUCGAGACAAGGCCCC
rnacentral:lncRNA from 1 species